rnacentral:rRNA from 1 species
UACGGAGGGAGCUAGCGUUGUUCGGAAAUACUGGGCGUAAAGCGCACGUAGGCGGCGCAGCAAGUCAGGGGUGAAAUCCCGGGGCUCAACCUCGGAACUGCCCUUGAAACUGCAGUGCUAGAAUCUUGGAGAGGCGAGUGGAAUUCCGAGUGUAGAGGUGAAAUGCGUAGAUAUCUGGAGGAACACCGGUGGCGAAGGCGGCAUCCUGGACCAAUACUGACGCUGAGGAGCGAAAGCCAGGGGAGCAAACGGG